CGGAUUGUAGGCUGCAACUCGCCUACAUGAAGUCGGAAUUGCUAGUAAUCGCGGAUCAGCAUGCCGCGGUGAAUACGUUCCCGGGCCUUGUACACACCGCCCGUCACACCAUGGGAGUCGGCAACACCCGAAGCCUGUAGUCUAACCGCAAGGAGGACGCAGUCGAAGGUGGGAUUGAUGACUGGGGUGAAGUCGUAACAAGGUAUC
rnacentral:rRNA from 1 species